UAAACUUAAAAUUCUCAUAUAUUUAAUGGUAAUAAACUAUAACAUAAAACACAUAUGUCAAAUUAUAUAGAGAUAUAUAUUAUCAUAAACAUGUUAUUAUAUUUAGAAAUAAAUAAUAUUCAUAUAAUAAUUAUUUUAUUCACUAUCUUUUUACUAUCAUGCCAUUAAUAAUUUUUAGAUUAUAUUGAUUAAAUUUUCAACAAAAUAUUUAAACGAAUCAAAUGACAUGUAUAAUUAAUUUAUUUAAUCAAAGCUUUAUUUGACUAUAAAUUAGUAUUAAGCAUGAUAGGGAAUAUAAACUUAUCUCGAUAGUAGAAGUAAAACAGGAAUUGGUAAUCUGGCAUGAAGAUGAUCUUUAAAACAUUUUCUGUUUUUCGGCUAGUUAGAAUCUCAAAUAUACAUAACCCUGCAAUACUUAAAAUUGCUCAUAAAACAUGGCUAUAUUGAUAUGUUAGUAAACAUCAAUAUAUAAUAUCAAAAUUAAUUAUGUAGCAUUAUCCCAAUAUUAUUACUAACAAUACAUAAAACAUGAGUAGUAUUCAUGUAUUGACAGCAAUAGGUCAAACUCAGACUCAUAUUAUAUUGCUAAAAGAACAAAGUAUAUAUGUGAAUAAUAAUACUAUGACUAUGUCAUGUGUUAACAGUAUGAAUGAAUUAAGUAAUGAAACAGUAACCAUAUAUACUAACGUGAUAACAUCAACACAUAUGACAAUAAAGAGUAUCAACUAUAGCAAGAAAUGAUUCGUAAGUUUUAAUUGUAGUUAUACAUUCUAACUUUUAGUUCACAGUUUCAACAAUAAAAAUAGUUAAGAUAGCUAUCUAUAUAUAUAAAGUAUGGUUUGCUCUCUCCUGGGGGCAUGCCACCUCUGAUUCCAUGUCAUAAAGUCGUGCUCUGUGGUGACGACACGUGUCCCUGUCAUAAAAUCUUUGUUGAGUUUUUGUUUAGAUACGAGAUGGGCCUUGCUGUUGGAGUUUUGUCUUAGGUUAUUUAGGUUUUAAUGUACAAAAGCCCAGCCCGUUUGUGAGCUAAUCUUCUCACGACAUCUACCAGUUAGGGUUCACCUCUUCUCCGAUAUCUGGAAAGCUUCAACAACAAUGGUGACUUCUGAUGGGUAUUUUUUUUUGCGGUAGAUCUUCAUGGAGAAUCUCUCAUCGAGCUCAGUUCGUUUCGUGUAUACUGGGAUUCUUCUCUUCCGAACCGUUACAUAAUGCAUUGAAUCAUUACCAUUAACGAACGUCUUAACUCUUCGAUCCACUCUUCCUCAUUCAAUGCAUCUGCACUCUCUUCCAAAAGAUGCAUCUGCAACUAUAAAAAGGUAAUCCUUCGUACCGUAAACAUCAUCCUAAAAAAAUUCUCUCUUUGAGAUCUUAUAAGGUUUUCAAUCUAAGAAAGUUUAGAUUUUUAUUGGUUUCUUGCUAUUCUCCUUCAGUUAAUUUGUUUGUUUCUAAUUUACAUUCUUAUGCUCUUUGAGUUACUGUUGAUUUCUUCUAACUUGAUCGUUUAUGAUUUUGCAGAAUCUUUCAACUCUUAUGCCAAAGAUACAGUUUUGGAUGUUCAACUCUUAUGCCAAAGAUAUCGUCUUCUCUUUUUAAGAGAAGUUAAUAAAGGAUAUUUUUUUGUGGUCUUUUAUGAGAUUAGUUCUCUGCAAGACAUUAAUGGUUUGAUGGUUAUGACGAGAACUCAAUAUGAAUGUGGCAUAGGAAAAGUUGUCUGGUAGGGUGCUUAAAAAAAGUUCAGAGCUGGGUUUUACUAUCGGUGAGUAUAACAAGUUGCUUAGCUUCAAGUUCUUUCUCGAAAGCACACUGCUUUGUUCAUCAUCGUUAAAGCCUAUAUUAACAUUUCCAACUUUCUCUUUAAGGUGAAAUUGUUAUAAACAUGGUUGUUGGAGGUGAAGUAACCACUCUCAAAGGCCUUGAAGAAAUCAGCGGCAUUAUCAUCACAGAGAUGCUAAUCAAUGUUUCUGAGAACUUACAAAAAUUUAAGGACUCCUAUGAUCUGAAGAAUACCAUCAAAAUUUGUUUGAUGUCUCUUGAGCUUCAAAUUAUAUGUUACCUGACCUUCUCUGUAGAAUCAAUUGUUUGUGUUAAACUACAGAAGAUGUCUCCCUGUCUCUCUGUUGCACUUAGCCAUUAAGUUGAUCACUAUGGUCUACAAGUAUGCGUGUUUUAAAUUGGAGGUGGAGACGAAGGGAAUCAAAUUCACGGAGACAUUUGAUAUCGUGCUCUCAUUCCUAAUCAUCUAAGCAAAUUUAUAAAGAACUUUGUACUUCUCUCUCAAAACCUUUCUAAACACCAAAGUGAGAUUUUAAAUAAUGUACUAACUGUUUUUAUUCUUUUCACUUAUAAAAGAAAAUAAUCAGAAAAUAACGUAAAACAAACAAAUGCAUGAGCUAUUUGUCUUUGUUAAACGUAUACAAAAUUCUCAAUAUUAACUUCAAGACAUUUAAUAGUCGGUUAACUUUAUUGGUAAAAUGAUAGUGAUUCGUUGUGACUUUUCUAUUCCACAAAGGAUAAAACAAUUGUUGUGAAAUAUUUUUUGUUUAUAGUAUAAAACAAUUAUUAUUGCAAUAAAUAUUUUCUACUUCAUCAAAUUCAAGCCAAGGAAAAAAUGAAUGAAAUAAUCAAAGGUUAUCCUUUUCCUGACCAAAUUCAAAUUUAGAUAAAUUAAAUAUUUAAUAGAAAACCAAAAAGAAAAAAAUAACACACCAUCAAAAAUAAUUUUGUAAACAAUUAUCCAAAAUAGUAAAUAUAAAAUAAAUAGAACUACAAUUUAGUGAAAUA